UGUCCUAAGGCUAGUAUUACCUUAGGACACUUCUGUCGCAUGUCGCA
rnacentral:ncRNA from 1 species